rnacentral:rRNA from 1 species
CCCUUAGAUGUUCUGGGCCGCACGCGCGCUACACUGACGGAGGCAGCGAGCGUGUCCUUCGCCGGCAGGUGCGGGCAAUCUUGCGAGUCUCCGUCGUGCUGGGGAUAGAUGGUUGCAAUUGUCGAUCUUGAACGAGGAAUUCCUAGUAAGCGCGAGUCAUCAGCUCGCGCUGAUUACGUCCCUGCCCUUUGUACACACCGCCCGUCGCUACUACAGAGUGCCCGUGUCCAAGAAAUGGUCGGACCUGUGCGGCCUCUCCGGGCGACCGGAGGGCCGUUACGGGGAAGACCCUUUAUUUGACGCGGGUCGAUGAAGUAAAAGUCGUAACA